rnacentral:rRNA from 1 species
ACGACGCUGGCGGCGUGCCUAAUACAUGCAAGUCGAACGGUCUUUCUAUGGAAGCUUGCUUCCACUGAGAAGAUAGUGGCGAACGGGUGAGUAACACGUGGGUAACCUGCCCAUAAGAGGGGGAUAACAUCCGGAAACGGGUGCUAAUACCGCAUAGUUUUCUUGAUCGCAUGAUUGAGAAAGGAAAGAUGGCCUUUGUGCUGUCGCUUAUGGAUGGACCCGCGGCGUAUUAGUUAGUUGGUGAGGUAACGGCUCACCAAGACGAUGAUACGUAGCCGACCUGAGAGGGUGAUCGGCCACAUUGGGACUGAGACACGGCCCAAACUCCUACGGGAGGCAGCAGUAGGGAAUCUUCCGCAAUGGACGAAAGUCUGACGGAGCAACGCCGCGUGAGUGAAGAAGGUUUUCGGAAUCGUAAAACUCUGUUGUCAGAGAAGAACAAGUUGGAGAGUAACUGCUCCAGCCUUGACGGUAUCUGACCAGAAAGCCACGGCUAACUACGUGCCAGCAGCUGC